rnacentral:rRNA from 1 species
GGCCCUGAUAUCUAUGAGGGUUCACCCACCCCGGUGAUAGCAUUCCUUUCUAUUGCGCCUAAAAACUCUAUUUCUGCAAAUAUGUCACGUGUUUCUAUUGUUGCUUCCUAUGGGGGUACAUUACAACAAAUCUUCUUUUUCUGGAGCAUUGCUUCUAUGAUCUUAGGAGCACUGGCCGCCAUGGCCCAAACGAAAGUCAAAAGACCUCUAGCUCAUAGUUCGAUUGGACAUGUAGGUUAUAUUCGCACUGGUUUCUCAAGUGGAACCAUAGAAGGAAUUCAAUCACUACUAAUUGGUAUAUUUAUUUAUGCAUCAAUGACGAUAGAUCCAUUCGCCAUAGUUCCAGCAUUACGGCAAACCCGUAUCAAAUAUAUAGCAGAUUUGGGCACUCUAGCCAAAACGAAUCCUAUUUCGGCUAUGACCUUCUCCAUUACAAUGUUCUCAUACACAGGAAUACCCUCGUUAGCCGGCUUUUGUAGAAAAUUCUAUUUGUUCUUCGCCGCUUUGGGUUGUGGGGCUUACUUCCUAGCCCCAGUGGGAGUAGUGACUAGCAUUAUAGGUCGUUGGGCGGCCGGAAGGUUGCCAUGA